AUGAGUGCCAGAGAAACAGGGAGCAGCAUUGCACAAUGCGACAGUGGAGAGGCAGACUCAUUUAUGGAUUUGACCGUGCCAUGUAGAAACGAUGCUGCUGCGUGUGACAAACAACAGAGCAGCAGCAGCUCCACUGUAAGUGGACCUGUGGCUGGCGAUGAAACUGAUGUCAUCAGAAGUGAAUGCGAUCAGACGAAUGAAGACACGGUAGACAGAAUCAUCAUGGUGCCGCCGACCAUUGUAGAGAAAAAAAUGGACGACAUGUUCAAAGAAGGCAUAUACCCAACGAUUCAGGAGGUCACCGAAGUGCUCGAACCAGAGGGUGGUAUGGUAUUCGGAUCAUUGGAUGAGUGCUUUUUCUUUUUCUGCAGAUAUGCAAGAAGGGUUGGCUUUGCUGCCAAGCGAUCAACAAGCAGAAGAUCGACAUAUGAUCAGCAGCUUGACAAGCAGGUGUUUCAGUGCACCAAGGAAGGGCAGAAUAAAACAACUGAGAGAAAUGUUAAGGAGAGAAGGAGCAACUGCUUGAUCGGGACAAGCUGCCCAGUCCAAAUAACAACCAAGGGGGAUACAGAUAGGAGGAAAUGGUAUCUGAAGAAUGUGCGCCUAGAGUACAACCACCAACUUCACCCAUCCGAUUGGAUGCUGAAGUUCAUGAGAUGCUAUAAGAAGAUGACACCUCAGGAGAAAUUCUUUAUACAAGUGCUGCAGAAGGCGAGGUUAGAACCAGGGAAGGUUAUGCAGAUUUUUACUGCCAUGGGGAAACUGAGGCGAGAAAUUAUGUUCGACACAAUUGACAUAAGCAACAUUGCAUGUCGGGACAGGGCUGGAGAGCGCGGCACUGAUAUUGAGGACACCAUGAAACUGUUUGCCGAUAUGCAGAGGCGGAGGCCGGGAUUCCACCAUGUGGAGGAGACAGAGAACAAUGUAGUGCGGAGCCUGUUCUGGACAGACUCCUUGUGCAAGAUGAAUUAUGAGCUAUAUGGAGAUUUCGUGUCUUUUGACACGACAUUCUCUACGAAUAUAUAUGGCUUGCCAUUUGCACCAAUUGUAGGUGUCGACAACCAUGAGUCGACCGUCCUGUUUGGACUAGGCCAUUUGAAGGAUGAGAAAAUAGGGUCAUUCAAGUGGCUCCUAAGCACGUUUGUCGAGGCAAUGGGAGGAAAAGAGCCGAAAUACAUAAUAACAGAUCAGGACCAGGCGAUGAAGACUGCAAUAAAGGAAGCUCUUCCGAGAACGAGGCACAAGUUCUGCUGGUGGCAUAUUAAGAAGAACAUGAAGGAAAAUAAUGCAGCAGUGUUUGCGCAGCACCCAGGGAUGUCUGAUGAUUUAUUUCGAAUCAUCAAAAACUCGCUAGAUCAAGAAGAGUUUGAGCGUACCUAG
rnacentral:rRNA from 1 species